rnacentral:rRNA from 1 species
AGCGAACGCUGGCGGCAGGCUUAACACAUGCAAGUCGAGCGGACCUUUCGGGGUCAGCGGCGGACGGGUGAGUAACGCGUGGGAACGUGCCUUCCGGUUCGGAAUAACCCUGGGAAACUAGGGCUAAUACCGGAUACGCCCUUAUUGGGAAAGGUUUACUGCCGGAAGAUCGGCCCGCGUCUGAUUAGCUAGUUGGUGGGGUAACGGCCUACCAAGGCGACGAUCAGUAGCUGGUCUGAGAGGAUGAUCAGCCACACUGGGACUGAGACACGGCCCAGACUCCUACGGGAGGCAGCAGUGGGGAAUAUUGGACAAUGGGCGCAAGCCUGAUCCAGCCAUGCCGCGUGAGUGAUGAAGGCCUUAGGGUUGUAAAGCUCUUUUAUCCGGGACGAUAAUGACGGUACCGGAGGAAUAAGCCCCGGCUAACUUCGUG